AUUUUUUUCCCCCGCGAGCGUUUCCUCCUCCCCAAGCUCUCGGUCGAGCCUCAAAGAGCAGCUCGAGCCCCUCAUUCUCCUCCUCCUUCCUCUUCGAAAAGUUCGAUAGCCCGCCUCCUCCUUCCUCUGUGAGUUGCACGACAGGGAGAACCCGCCGUCUCCUUCCUCUCCCAGCUCUCGAUUGAGCUUCCUACAGGCCUCACGAGCUCUCCUUCCUCUUAUGCGGUUUGGUUAGGGCACGAAUGCCUCUCCCUCCCUCUUCUUCGCUCGGUUAGGGCUGCUCGAGCCUUCAUCGUGCAGAAAAAUGCCGCAGGAGCUCCCUCCUCCUAUCUCUUUGGUUCAAUUACAGUUUCUCUCGUGCCUGCUGAGUGUGGGUUCGAAAUGGGAGGAGACGAGGGGAGCCGCAAUUUGACUCUCCCAUGAGCGGCGGCUUCUUCGCUCGAACGGCACCUACACAGCAAGGUCGAAGGUUAUGGGAGAUAUAUUCCCCGCUCCCAUCAAAACAAAGGUAUUUGUUGAUGAAAACAGGACCGCCCAACACCUAGUAAAAUCAAGAACUGAACCGCCGAAUAUCUGAAAAAACUAAGAACUGGAUUGCCGAACACACUGCUGGUUGAAGGAC